UGGGAUUCUGGAGAUGGCCUGCUGCUGCUGGUCCCUGCUGGUCCCUGCGGCUGUGUUUGCUAUUGCUGGUUUGCUGGAUAUUUUGAUAACAAAGAUUGGACUGGCCCCAAGGACACCAACCCCCUGACCCCUGAUCGGCAGGAAGUAGCUUACAGAGGUUUUCGACCCCCCUUUCCCUCUGGCCUUCUUUCUCUCUUACCUAGUGUUGGGGGUUGUAAAGGUUUACGGUGGAGCAAGGGUUGGAAGAGAGGUAGAGACAUUAGAAUUCAAUAAAAUAGUUGUUUUUUUAUUUUUAAGCCAACAAAAAUGACUCUGGAUGCUGAGGGGCAGUAGAGGGAUGGCUCAGUGGUUAACUGCAUUCUUGUUCCUGCAGGACUCAGAUUCAGUACUCAGGACUCUCAUGGUGGCUCACAACUGUCUUUAACUCCAGUUCUAGAUGUUCCUACACCCUCUUCUGACCUCUGUAGGCACUGCACUUAUGUGCACAGACAUUUGUACACAGAAGUAAAAUAAAUCUUAAAAAGUCUAAUGAACUCACAAACUUAUCUUCCCAAUUCAGUAACAAGUCAAUAUUUUACCAUUCUACAUGUUACUUUUGCUUGUUUGUUUGUUUGAGACAGAGUCUCUCUCUAUAGUCCUCGCUGUCCUUGAACUCACUCUGUAGACCAGGCUGACCCAAAACUCACUGUAUGUAGCUCAGACUGGCAUGAAACUCAUGAUCAUCCCCCUCAGGUCUGAAGCACUGGAAUUACAAGCAGACAACACUGGUGGCCAUUAUACUUUUGUCUGUUUUUGUUUUUUAAGAUAGAGUUUCUGUCUAGCCCUGGCUGUCCAGAAAUCAUUCUGUAGACCAGGCUGGCCUCAAACUCAGAGAUCUGCCUGCCUCUGUCUCCCAAGUGCUGGGAUUAAAAGUGUACACCACCAUGCCAGGUUACAUUAACUUUAAAAAGAAACUCACAAUGAAUAACCUUUUGUUUCCCUAAAACAGAAAGAAGUGCUCCUGAGAUAGCUACGUGGACAAGUGGUAUUUUUAGCAAAAGGCUUUUACAGAGUAGUGGCCAAGGCAAGCUCCUGCUGCUCUUUGACUUGUCUCUCCUCCAGAAGCAGGCUGAGUUAGAGCAGGAUCAACCACUGUAGUUUAUUACUCCAAUGAUUCGCACAGCCGGGUUGCAAGUCUAAGGCAGGCUGCCUGCCUUCCUUGAGGUACUUAUGAAGAAUAAAAAUUUUUACUGAACUCUU
rnacentral:lncRNA from 1 species